rnacentral:rRNA from 1 species
AUAAGAGGUCCCGCCUGCCCUGUGACUAUAUGUUUAACGGCCGCGGUAUUUUGACCGUGCGAAGGUAGCGCAAUCACUUGUCUUUUAAAUGGGGACCUGUAUGAAUGGCAUAACGAGGGCUUGACUGUCUCCUCUUUCAAGUCAAUGAAAUUGAUCUCCCCGUGCAGAAGCGGGGGUAAGCACAUAAGACGAGAAGACCCUAUGGAGCUUUAGACACUAAAGCAGAUCAAGUAUAAACAUCCUUAACANNNCAGGGUACGAAUUUAACUGACUCUGCCCUAAUGUCUUUGGUUGGGGCGACCGCGGAGAAAUAAAAAACCCCCGCAAGGACCGAAUGUACCNNNACAUUCACAACCAAGAGCGACAGCUCUAAUUAACAGAUACUUCUGACCAAUAAGAUCCGGCAACGCCGAUCAAUGAACCGAGUUACCCUAGGGAUAACAGCGCAAUCUCCUCUUAGAGUCCAUAUCGACGAGGGGGUUUACGACCUCGAUGUUGGAUCAGGACAUCCUAAUGGUGCAGCCGCUAUUAA